rfam:Stegodyphus mimosarum contig7424, whole genome shotgun sequence.
GCGCAGGCGUUGCUAAGUGGUUACUUCGCAACUUUUAAUUGUGUUAGAGACCAUUGGCGCUAACCUGCGUUUUU